UUUUGAGGUUGGGUUACCUUCCAUCCUGCGGAUACGGCAAGUUCCUGAGCAGCCAUUUUAAUCAAGCCCUACCCAGAAACCAAGCAUCAGCUCGCCACCGAGUGAGAUUUACUUCCUUUAACUAGCAAUGUUGUGAAACCAACACAAACUUCAAGAUUCUACCCAACUCCAACGCCUACUCUUCCUCUCCCCAAAUCACAGUCCUAAGGGAUUCAGUCUCCCACAGUAUUCUCGGCCCUUAGGGAAGACAUCUUGGAGACAUGGAGGAUUUCUUCUUUGUCAUGGAGAACAACACCAUCAUCACAAUGGGACAGCAAUUUAGCAGCAUUGCUGGAAAGCAGACUGUAGGUUCAGAACUACUGAAUGCAAAGAUGAGGACUUUUCAAGGAAAGACUGAUCUAAGAGAGAAGACUGAACAGAAUCAUCCUCUGGACUUCUGGGACUAGAAUAGAAGAAAUCAGGACUCUCUGAGGACCUUCAUUGCUCUUUCAAAGCACACAGGGAAAGACCUUCGGAAGACGUAUGAUCUUCAACUCCAAGAAAGACUGUCACAGUGAUAUAAUUCACUGCUGCAUCAAAGAGACGAAAGAUAUUGUAGAUCUGAGAUUUCAAUGAAUGUAGACGACCAAAAGCAAAAAUACAACAAAAUUCCUGUAAAUCUUUCAGGAGGAGAAGAAGUGUUGAUUUCCCGAUGAUAUUUCAGAAGGACUGUUAACUUUCUGUCGGCAGUGGUGAGAGCCAUACUUCACUCUGUGUGAGGCUGCUCCACUCUGGGCAAUGGGAAGAAUUGCUGAUAUAGAGACAAGACACCACCACCUUCUGUAAUGGGACAAAUUUCAACGAUAAAAUGAAGACGAAUUUCCUGUAGACAAAUAAAUCAGAGGCAAGAUUGCUGUACAGGAUUCUGCAGCUUCAGAAGUGCUGAAGAUUCUACCAUAGCUUCUGUGCUGACAUACAGCUCGAGAGGGAAGAAGACUUUCAGCUGGGACUGAUGUUAUCGAAGCCUUUAACUUGAACUGCAACUGAUCAAUAGUCUGGAUUAAGAUUAUUAACUUCCCCUAGGAACUCUGUAAUUUUGUCUUUAUCUUGAUUUUCAAUUUCUUGGAUGGAGUGCGUUUCAUAAAUAUUUUCUUGUCUUCUACCUUGAUUAAAGUUGCUGGAUUUGCAGAAACA